rnacentral:lncRNA from 1 species
CCUCCUCUAGGCUCCUGGUUUUCGAGUCCCAUAACCGUGCCAGGCCAUAGAAUGGGGUCCUGGUCUUUUCUUACUCUGUGCCAGGCCAUAGAAUGGGGUCCUGGUCUUCCUGUCAGGGACUAAUUGGGUCAUCCAAUAUUCACCCACAUCAACAACAAUUGAUGCAAUGUGGCAUAUUCGUGAAAACUAAUGCAAUCGUCCUAUUGCAUAAUCAUGAUGCAUGAAACAUGAUAAAAACAUUCAAUUUCUC